rnacentral:tRNA from 1 species
GUAGAUAUAGUUUAAACAAAACCCUAGAUUGUGAUUCUAGAAAUGAAAGAUAACACCUUUCUAUCCACC